rnacentral:rRNA from 1 species
AUUGAACGCUGGCGGCAUGGUUAAGACAUGCAAGUCGAACGGUUAAAGCCCCUUCGGGGGUGUAUAAAGUGGCGAAAGGGCGAGGAAUACAUUCCUACGUGCCUCGAGGUUGGGGAUAGCCCAGGGAAACUUGGAGUAAAACCCAAUGUGGUCUACGGAUCAAAGGCUUGCCGCCUUGAGAGCGGGGAAUGUCCUAUCAGGUUGUUGGUGAGGUAAAGGCUCACCAAGCCUACGACGGGUAGCGGGUGUGAGAACAUGACCCGCCGCAUCGGGACUGAGACACUGCCCGG